GCCGCUAUGGUGAAAUUGGUAGACACGCUGCUCUUAUUUUU
rnacentral:tRNA from 1 species